rnacentral:lncRNA from 1 species
AUUACCCAAAACACCCGCUGAUACAAGAUCGGAACCUCGAAUGACAGGAAAACUUCGAUUAUUCGCUCAACAAUCGUUGAAAAAUCUCCAAAAAGUAUCUCUCACUGAUAACCAUAGGAAAAGCUUCAGCAAAAGCUUCGAACAGGAUCGAUAACAUGCAACCGAGAACGAUCCAAAGAUCCUCCGGCUCUGAUACCAUGAAAACCUGAAGAGUAAGCUAAAGAACAUGGAGAAUAUAGUGAGAGAAAUAAGAGAGAGGAAGGAGCAGUUGAGAGA